UGGGGAAUCUUCCGCAAUGGGCGCAAGCCUGACGGAGCAACGCCGCGUGAAUGAAGAAGGCCUUCGGGUCGUAAAGUUCUGUCUUUAGAGAAGAAGUCUCUCUAUGUGAAUAAUGUAGAGAGGUGACGGUACCUAAGGAGGAAGCUCCGGCUAACUACGUGCCAGCAGCCGCGGUAAUACGUAGGGAGCAAGCGUUGUCCGGAAUUACUGGGCGUAAAGGGCGCGUAGGCGGAUAAUUAAGUCAGGUGUGAAAACUCUGGGCUCAACCUGGAGAUUGCACUUGAAACUGGUUAUCUUGAGGGCAGGAGAGGAAAGUGGAAUUCCUAGUGUAGCGGUGAAAUGCGUAGAUAUUAGGAGGAACACCAGUGGCGAAGGCGACUUUCUGGACUGCACCUGACGCUGAGGCGCGAAAGCGUGGGGAGCGAACGGG
rnacentral:rRNA from 1 species